rnacentral:rRNA from 1 species
UNGGCGGCGUGGUUAAGACAUGCAAGUCGAACGAGAGAAUUGCUAGCUUGCUAAUAAUUCUCUAGUGGCGCACGGGUGAGUAACACGUGAGUAACCUGCCCCCGAGAGCGGGAUAGCCCUGGGAAACUGGGAUUAAUACCGCAUAGUAUCGAAAGAUUAAAGCAGCAAUGCGCUUGGGGAUGGGCUCGCGGCCUAUUAGUUAGUUGGUGAGGUAACGGCUCACCAAGGCGAUGACGGGUAGCCGGUCUGAGAGGAUGUCCGGCCACACUGGAACUGAGACACGGUCCAGACACCUACGGGUGGCAGCAGUCGAGAAUCAUUCACAAUGGGGGAAACCCUGAUGGUGCGACGCCGCGUGGGGGAAUGAAGGUCUUCGGAUUGUAAACCCCUGUCAUGUGGGAGCAAAUUAAAAAGAUAGUACCACAAGAGGAAGAGACGGCUAACUCUGUGCCAGCAGCCGCGGUAAUACAGAGGUCUCAAGCGUUGUUCGGAAUCACUGGGCGUAAAGCGUGCGUAGGCUGUUUCGUAAGUCGUAUGUGAAAGGCGCGGGCUCAACCCGCGGACGGCACAUGAUACUGCGAGACUAGAGUAAUGGAGGGGGAACCGGAAUUCACGGUGUAGCA